rnacentral:sRNA from 1 species
UUUUAGCCCUGAUAGUAGUGGAAAUCCUUUUUCUGGCUUCUUUAGUCAGGAAAAGAUUGAAACGAAUAGCAGGAUUAGCU